UUAUUUGGACCACGAUAUUAUUAUACCAAUUAUGGGGAACUACUGCAGGAACUGAGGGGUCCCCUCAGUUCAUAAUCCAGAGAAUAAAGUCUCAAUCACUGUCUAACAAUAAGGGGAUGCAUGGUAGGUAGCACCACAUGCACAUCUACAAGAGACAAUUUUCCCGUGCAACACGAACUUCAUAAUUCAUAUUGCAUAGUGGUAUUUCCUGCUACACAUGCUUUAAAAAGGUUAUUUUAUUGCACCUGAAUCAUCACAUAUUCCAUUGUGGGAUCACUCUUUAGGAUAAAAUGGGGUUCACCAUGUGAUGCUAACAGCAGAAAACAAAAAGCAUGUAUUUGUUCCACAAUCAAUAUAUUAUGUAGUAUGUACCAACCCCUAAGAGCUACACUAACAAAUAACAUCAGUUUAUCGCAUUUUAAUCAGUCAAUUAUCUAAGUUGUGGCCUGUGGGUCUCAUCUACGUUUUGGUCCAUCAAAUAGAUGGUCCCACGAUCACAUCUUUAUUCCAUUCCGCAUAAUAUAGAGAAACAAACAAGACUCAAAAAGAAAAAGUUACAUAACUGAAACAAACAAAAACAUUAUGCUCUAACCUAAUAUAAUAGACCCGCAACGCGUGAGGGACUUAUUAUUGUAUCUUGCCUCCAAACAUAGCUUUGAUUAGUUUAUACUAUUCCCCUUGUUUCUUAUUGUCUAUUUUGUGGGUAUCCUCUUCAUUACUUUUACACAUCUCCACUUUAUUCUUUUAGUGCAUAAGCAUAUUAUUGAAAGUUUGAAACCCUUGAGUGAUUUCAAACCAACAACUUAUGGUCUAAACAAAGGAUGUGAUGGACCCACAAAGAGUUGAGGAUUUGUUGACUGUAUAUUGCCUUUACAAUACUAAGUGGUAUUGCUGA
rnacentral:lncRNA from 1 species